CCUCAGUCUCGCAGGCAGGAGUGCUGUGGUGAGAUCACAGAUCAUUGGAGCCUUGAAUCUUGGGGUUCAAGUAGCUGGGAGGCUGAGGUUGGACUACAGAGGUGGGGUUGCGCCAUAUUGCUAGGCUGCUCUUGGCCUGAAGGGAUCCUCCUUCCUGGCCACGCCCGGACACAUAGUUUUCCAUUUUUGACCGACAUAAAUACUGUGCUGGGUGGGAGUUUGUCAACUACCCCUUUCCAGCCAGCAACACACAGGAACUGGCGGGGAGGUCGCGGUUACCAGGCUCCACUCUGAGAAGACUGCCCAGCUCCAGGCACUGUACAGCCCUUGUGACGUGACAGAAGGCCCGCCCCUGUGACGUCACCGAAGGCGCCCCCCAAGAUGUCGCAAAGGCCCGCCCCUCACGCAGAGCCAAUCGGAACUCCAGGUGCUGGGUCUUCCAGGAGAGCGCCUGCGCGGGAGGGUGACCACAGGCGGCCGGGCGGGAUGUCCUGUCCGCCGUCUUCAGCCCAGCCGCCACCACCCAUAAGCUAUGAGGAGGAGUUUACGACCACCUGGACUACUACCACCUGCGUGACUUCCCGGCCUGAGGGGUCCGCGCAGCAAAGGCCUGACGCUGCUGGAGCAGGCGCUGCGCACCUACCGGCUGGCGCCUGGUAGGCACGAGUGCAGGGUCGCCCAGAAGCUCCUCAAUGGCCGGCGCAAGUGCCAGCCAGCGCCAGCUGCAGCCCUGGCCGCGCACUCGCCUCAGCUGAGCCUGGGAAUGAAGAAGCUGUUUCUUUACACAAUCGUUAUCCCAUAAUGCCUGCUUCUGCUGCUACCACGGGCUCACCUAAAAGGCAACCAAAGUAAGUUCAGUCAAUAAGAACCAACAAUACUGUGUGUGGCUUUGCUUAUCACCGAUGACUCAUUUCCUCCAGUAUUAACUAUGGGAAUUCAAAGCUUCUCUGUUAGCCCAAUUUUCUACUCUAAACCAUGACCCCUGUCCACAAUAUUUGAGGAGUGUCUGACUUCUACUUAGAAGACCUGAACACCCCUCUCUCCUUCUGGAUACAUUUCUGUUUACCCAUACUAAAGUACAGCACUGCAACUCUAAUCUGGCUAAAAUGGACUGAUCAUUUCCCUCAUUCCAGAAAUCUUUUUUAUUAAAU
rnacentral:lncRNA from 10 species